GUAGGUGAACCUGCGGAAGGAUCAUUACCGAGUUCAUGCCCUUACGGGUAGAUCUCCCACCCUUUGUAUACUAUACCUUUGUUGCUUUGGCGGGCCGCCUAGCUACUGGCUUCGGCUGGUAAGUGCCUGCCAGAGGACCCAAAACCCUGAAUUAUUAGUGUCGUCUGAGUAAAAAAGUUAAUAUUUAAAACUUUCAACAACGGAUCUCUUGGCUCUG
rnacentral:misc_RNA from 1 species